rnacentral:rRNA from 1 species
AUUGAACGCUGGCGGCAUGCCUUACACAUGCAAGUCGAACGGCAGCACGGGUGCUUGCCCCUGGUGGCGAGUGGCGAACGGGUGAGUAAUACAUCGGAACAUGUCCUGUAGUGGGGGAUAGCCCGGCGAAAGCCGGAUUAAUACCGCAUACGAUCUACGGAUGAAAGCGGGGGGCCUUCGGGCCUCGCGCUAUAGGGUUGGCCGAUGGCUGAUUAGCUAGUUGGUGGGGUAAAGGCCUACCAAGGCGACGAUCAGUAGCUGGUCUGAGAGGACGACCAGCCACACUGGGACUGAGACACGGCCCAGACUCCUACGGGAGGCAGCAGUGGGGAAUUUUGGACAAUGGGCGAAAGCCUGAUCCAGCAAUGCCGCGUGUGUGAAGAAGGCCUUCGGGUUGUAAAGCACUUUUGUCCGGAAAGAAAUCCUUGGCCCUAAGACGGUCGGGGGAUGACGGGACCGGAAGAAGAAGCACCGGCUAACUACGU